CUACGGGCCGCUGCAGUGGGGAAUAUUGCACAAUGGAGGAAACUCUGAUGCAGCAACGCCGCGUGGAGGAUGACACUUUUCGGAGCGUAAACUCCUUUUAUAUAGGAAGAUAAUGACGGCACUAUAUGAAUAAGCACCGGCUAACUCCGUGCCAGCAGCCGCGGUAAUACGGAGGGUGCAAGCGUUACUCGGAAUCACUGGGCGUAAAGAGCGUGUAGGCGGGUUAAUAAGUCAGAAGUGAAAUCCUAUGGCUCAACCAUAGAACUGCUUUUGAAACUGUUAACCUAGAGUGUGGGAGAGGUAGAUGGAAUUUCUGGUGUAGGGGUAAAAUCCGUAGAGAUCAGAAGGAAUACCGAUUGCGAAGGCGAUCUACUGGAACAUAACUGACGCUGAGACGCGAAAGCGUGGGGAGCAAACAGGAUUAGAUACCCGAGUAGUC
rnacentral:rRNA from 1 species